rnacentral:rRNA from 1 species
UACGUAGGGGGCAAGCGUUGUCCGGAUUUAUAGGGCGUAAAGAGCGUGUAGGCGGCCAGGUAGGUCAGCUGUGAAAACUCGAGGCUCAACCUCGAGACGUCGGUUGAAACCAUCUGGCUAGAGUCCGGAAGAGGAGAGUGGAAUUCCUGGUGUAGCGGUGAAAUGCGCAGAUAUCAGGAAGAACACCCGUGGCGAAGGCGGCUCUCUGGGACGGUACUGACGCUGAGACGCGAAAGCGUGGGGAGCGAACAGG